rnacentral:rRNA from 1 species
UACGGGGGGGGCAAGCGUUGUUCGGAAUUACUGGGCGUAAAGGGUUCGUAGGUGGCUUGCUAAGUCAGACGUGAAAUCCCUCAGCUUAACUGGGGAACUGCGUCUGAGACUGGUGAGCUUGAGUGCAGGAGAGGAACGCGGAAUUCCAGGUGUAGCGGUGAAAUGCGUAGAUAUCUGGAGGAACACCGGUGGCGAAGGCGGCGUCCUGGACCAACACUGACACUGAGGAGCGAAAGCCAGGGGAGCAAACAGG